rnacentral:rRNA from 1 species
AUUGAACGCUGGCGGCAGGCCUAACACAUGCAAGUCGAACGGUAACAGGAAACAGCUUGCUGUUUCGCUGACGAGUGGCGGACGGGUGAGUAAUGUCUGGGAAACUGCCUGAUGGAGGGGGAUAACUACUGGAAACGGUAGCUAAUACCGCAUAACGUCGCAAGACCAAAGAGGGGGACCUUCGGGCCUCUUGCCAUCGUAUGUGCCCAGAUGGGAUUAGCUAGUAGGUGGGGUAACGGCUCACCUAGGCGACGAUCCCUAGCUGGUCUGAGAGGAUGACCAGCCACACUGGAACUGAGACACGGUCCAGACUCCUACGGGAGGCAGCAGUGGGGAAUAUUGCACAAUGGGCGCAAGCCUGAUGCAGCCAUGCCGCGUGUAUGAAGAAGGCCUUCGGGUUGUAAAGUACUUUCAGCGGGGAGGAAGGGAGUAAAGUUAAUACCUUUACUCAUUGACGUUACCCGCAGAAGAAGCACCGGCUAACUCCGUG